rnacentral:misc_RNA from 1 species
AAAGGCGGCUCUUUGAAGCCGACGGCGGACCCCGCGGCUCCUUCAGGGAGUUUAGGGGCUGCCGACGCGGGAUCUUCCUGCUAUCCUUUGUCUAUAUGUACCCUUUUUUCCUCAGCGGGCUUGCCUGCUGCUGGACCUUUUGAACAAACCUUUUGAUAACCAAUUGUCUGAAUCAAAAUUAAUUACUUA